UGCAGAUAUGUGGGGCAGAUUGGGUC
rnacentral:piRNA from 1 species